AUCCAUGAAGAGUUGCAAUGUGGAUGUGAAGAUCCUUGGCUGGCUAUAUUUGGGAAGUAGAAUAAUGUGUUUAUGUUUCCCCACUGUGCAGGUGUGACACUUAAUAAUGAACUAGAGAAAGAAUAUAUUCAAAUGCAGAAACAAGACUGGGAAGGAGAAUGGAUCAGGAUCAGAGACUAGAGACAGGAAUGAAAAUGACUUGGAGAACUUUGACCAUGUACUACAACUUUGAGUUACCAACUUCUCAAGCUAUAUACAAAGUGCAGAUUAGAACAUUGAGACAUUAAAGUGACAUCAUUCCUCUGCAUCUUUCAUUUAGCAGUCAAUCACAAAGCCAGUCCUGGAAUCCACUGGUGUGAUUUGUUUCUACUUAAUAUUGAAUUAAAAUAUAUCUAGCUUUCAAUAACAGGUAGAUUCACCAUUGUCUUUUCACAAGGGUGUACAUUUCACACUGUUCAAUAUAAGAAAGUAAAUUAAA